GUUCCCUUCUCACUCUCCUAGAGGUGAUCGCUCAGUUCCCUUCUCCGUCUCCUAGAGGUGAUCGCUCAGUUCCCUUCUCCCUCUCCUACAGGUUAUCGCUAAGUUCCCUUCUCCCUCUCCUAGAGGUGAUCGCUCAGUUCCCUUCUCCGUCUCCUAGAGGUGAUCGCUCAGUUCCCUUCUCCCUCUCCUACAGGUUAUCGCUAAGUUCCCUUCUCCCUCUCCUAGAGGUGAUCGCUCAGUUCCCUUCUCCGUCUCCUAGAGGUGAUCGCUCAGUUCCCUUCUCCCUCUCCUACAGGUUAUCGCUAAGUUCCCUUCUCACUCUCCUAGAGGUGAUUGCUCAGUUCCCUUCCCCUUGUCCUAUUGGUGAUUGCUCAGUUCCCUUCCCCUUCCCCUAUUGGUGAUUGCUCAGUUCCCUUCCCCUUCCCCUAUUGGUGAUUGCUCAGUUCCCUUCCCCUUGUCCUAUUGGUGAUUGCUCAGUUAACCUUCUCCCUCUCCUAUUGAUGAUUGCUCAGUUCCCUUCUCCCUCUCCUAGAGGUGAUCGCUCAGUUCCCUUCUCCCUCUCCUACAGGUGAUCGCUCAGUUCCCUUCUCCCUCUCCUACAGGUGAUCGCUCAGUUCCCUUCUCCAUCUCCUAUUGGUGAUUGCUCAGUUCCCUUCUCCCUCUCCUAGAGGUGAUCGCUCAGUUCCCUUCUCGCUCUCCUACAGGUGAUCGCUCAGUUCCCUUCUCCCUCUCCUAGAGGUGAUCGCUCAGUUCCCUUCUCGCUCUCCUAGAGGUGAUCGCUCAGUUCCCUUCUCCCUCUCCUAGAGGUGAUCGCUCAGUUCCCUUCUCACUCUCCUAGAGGUGAUCGCUCAGUUCCCUUCUCCGUCUCCUAGAGGUGAUCGCUCAGUUCCCUUCUCCGUCUCCUAGAGGUGAUCGCUCAGUUCCCUUCUCC